rnacentral:misc_RNA from 1 species
CCGGCAGGAAGAGAACAAAUGACUUUAGGCUAGCGCCGAUCGCGUAUUUGUCUGCAAACAAGUUUGUUUUUAAGAAUUUUCUGGCGGUACACAGUAAGGAGGCCAAACCUAAUUCGAAGUACGUGUAUCACGAGUCCAAGUGCCUUAAAUGUCAAAUGAAGAGGUGAAGGAUUACGUGGGUAGCUCCGAGGGCGCGUAACAGCUGGUAUGAUAUAGCAAGAGCAAAGCUGCUAAACACCUUCAUUGCCAAGAAUGGCUAGCAUUCUUAGCGUUGUUUUGUCCGAUUAGAGUUUGAUAAAUUGGUCGGCAAAACAGUAUCAUGGCAGAAAGGAAUAUGAAGAUGAAGAAAAGAGUCAUCAAAGAGGGGAUCCUUCAUAAAAAGACCAGCUUGCUGAAGCAAUGGCGUCCUCGGUUUGUAGUUUUGAACCGACAGAUGCUGUGCACUUUCAAGAAGGAAGACGACCAGAAAAGAGGACGAACUGCGGAAGCAAGGAUCUUCCUGAUGGACAUUGAAUCCAUAGAGAAGUGCGAGAGUAAGAAGCGCAAACACUGUUUUAAUUUGAUCGUAGAGGGGAAGCCUUUCUUCAGCUUCAGUUGUAGUUCUGAGCUGGACAGAGAAAUGUGGAUGCGAUCAGUACAGAUAGCUAAAGAGAACGAGCUCAACGAAGAGGAAAACGAUCCAAUAAGAAGAAAAAGCACCAAACUAACUGGAGGACUCAAACGGAUAACCAUCCAGAGAGAGAAAGGACAGGGGCUCGGUUGUACAAUUAAAAAUGUCGGUGGAGUUAUCCUUGUCAACAGAAUUCUCGAGGAUGGGCCUGUUUCGACUUCUGGCAUCCUAAGGCCGGGAGACCAAAUCCUUGAUAUCAAUGGGAUUGAAGUUGGCGGCCGCACUGUUUCGGAGAUAAGUGAAAUAAUCAAGGGAAGCCCAGAGCUAGUUGUUUGCACGGUGAAACCAUUCUCUGAUUACCGUUACUGCGACACACACUCAACAGGUCACACAGAAUACGCCGAAAUAGACUUGGAUUCUCUUAAAGCUAAGGGCAAUGACGACAGCAGCAAUUCGUCACAAGAUGGUGGCUCUGAUAGUCCACAGGAGUCCAAUGAUCAGAAAAUACAUAGUGAUGAGGUAAAGAAAAGACACUCACUACCAACUGUCUUGCCAGACAUUCAUUCUGCUAAAGAUUUUCAUAAGGGAGACACUGUCAACUAUCUCGAGCUAAACUUUCCCCAGAAUGAUCGCCCACGUGGCAGAAGCGAUGCAUCACGUUCCCCACAAGUGCCCCACAGAGCUGGCAGAGAGCGCAACAAGCCAGCUGCUUACAUAGAACUUGAGUUUAACAAGAAGGAAAAUAAGUUUCAAGAAGUUGGCAAAGAAAGUUCUGAUGCUAAAGCAGGAGACAGGAAAAGUUCUUCGCUACCUAGAUCAUAAGAAAUCGGAGCUGUAUGUAACUGUUUUUGUACAGGAUUUAACCUACUCAAUCACCACGAGUUACACUUUCGAGAAGAAAGGUGAAGCUAAGAGUGAAAAUAUCAAGUAGGUAAUAUUAUUUGAUGUAACAACCAAAUUCCUAGAGCUAAAAAUUAUAAAACAUACAGAGUUGUCAUUAGAAACUAGGAGGCGGUGGAAUGCUAGCUGUCAGUUGUGUCCCAGUAUGGACAUAAUCAUGUCCCACGUCUUGGGAGAGUUUGAAAUUGCAAUUUUUUUCCAGGAAGAGGGUGCAACCAGACCCCCCUAGAAGUAAGGAGGGGGGGGGAAGUUUCUUAAGAAACUGUGGUGCUGCAUCAGUAGGAGAUUAUAACAAGGUAAUUUAGUCUUAUCAACUGAGUUGAUAACAUAAAUUGGCCAACAUUGGCUCUGACAAAGCACUAUUGCUUAAAAUAUGGGCUUUGAAUCUCUUCACGGUGGCCAAUGUACAUUAUCCACUCAUUUGAUAAUACUAAAUAACCCCCCCUCCUCCGCUUUGUGACAUACCAUGUUUGCUAUGCAAGCAUUGUUCAAUUGAGCCUUUUAGUCAGUUCAGAUUUUAAAUCUAUCCCAUUUCCUAAUGACAACCCUGGAAAUAUAAAG